rnacentral:lncRNA from 1 species
GGCGAUCUGGCUCUGCGGCAGGUAUGCCUUUUGUGCCCCUCUAUUUACUUACUUACUAUCAGCAUGGUUUAGUUUAGAGAGAACUACAGUACUUUGAGGCUACUGUAUGUGGUGUGUUCCCUAUUGUGCAUGGAAGUUAUUUUUCUGGGCAUUAUUCUACAAGGACUGUGUGUAACUACUUAGAAGCAUGAAAUAGCUAUGUAGUCAUCUGCCCAGCCAAGUACAAGGUAAAGUUCCUUCCUAUAAUAGUAGCCUUACAUAUUAAGGUAAUGGCUUUCAUUCUUCGGGAUAUAGGUGUUUCAUGGUAUGGUAGAAAGUAUUGAUUGUGAAGGAUGGUUGCAACAUCUGAGCAAAUAGUUGGUUUGAACAUUUUGUAGUUGUGAUUUGCACUAGGAGUUGCUGGCCUUUUUCGUAUCAGCUUCAUCGUUGCCAUACUUUUUUGGUAGAUAUUUAAACAUAGCUCAGUACGUAUCACACUCGCAAAGGGAGAGACAAAGCGUAGUUAGAGUCGCACAAGCUACUUGCUUCUUUCCUGAACAAUUAGAUUAUGAUAUUAAUGCAAUGCCGAUUCCUACAUUCAGGUUUAUUAGUUGGUUUUUUAUAUUGGCUUUAGGACGGCCAGUGUAUUUUGGUUAAUAUAUAAUGUGCUGCCAUUUGUUAACUUAAAUAUAUUUUCAUGCAUUUUCUUUGUACAUUCUUUCCAUUCAGGUUGUUUAAUAUAUAUGUACUGCCAUUUAUUAACUUAAAUAUAUUUUGAUGCAUGCCCUUUGUAUAUUCUUUCUGUUUAGGUUGGCAAUCCAGUCACUUACUCUGUCAAUUAUAUUUCCUUUUUCUGUUUUCUAUCUCUCUUUACAUACAUGCCAUUGCCCACCAAGUAUCAUACUACCUCCAAUUUGGGACAGAUGAAGUACCUUUUAGUUUUGUAUGCCACUGAGUAUUAUUUGGUUACUACAAACCCAAGAUUGUAUGCAAAUUCAAGAAAAUGUAAUUUACUGUACAGAUCAGUGGUUUAUGCUUCCCAACACGGUAAUGGAACCUGCAGUAUGCAAAUUCCAGAAAAUGUAGUUUCAGGCACAAUAUAGUUUCCUGUGUGCACGACUGCAUGCUGUCUCCAAACCUUUAGUACAGGUUACAGUAUGAUAGGGAAACGCAUCAGCAACCCAAUCUACAUAAGUGAUGAAGAAGGUCAUAGCAACUUACUCCCCCCGUAAAGAAAUAAUAAGAGUGUUUAGAUCACUAAAGUAGUGAUCCAAACACUCUUAUAUCUCUUUACAGAGGGAGUACUUGUUUACUUUACAGUCUUUUUACACCUUUGAUUAAUGCUGACUAUUUGAGCACUGACUAAUUACUUUGAAGCCCACCACUGCACCAAGAAGCUGAAAGAUUCAGCUUAAAACAAAACAACAUGGCAACAUCACAAGAACCUCAACUAAGGUACCAACUUUGCUAAUGUCAAAAGAGUUCUACAUUUGAUUUUGCCGUGUCAAAAGUUGAGUGGUUAUUUCUUGAAAAAAAAAACUUGAGUAGUAUCUUUGCCAGUCUAUUUUGUGGGUCCAACAGAGUAGCAUGGAGGAACUUUGCCUCCAUUGUUUUUAUUUAUUAAAUUGGGCGGAAAAUACGAAUGUACAUCUUAUUGUGAGCAACAAGCCUCAUUUCUUUUUUCUUAUUAAAAGAGAGUAAAAUUGUUAAAAUGUGCUUGCCCACAACUAAACCAAAUAAUAUAUGGAUUUUUUUUCAUUGCACACAUGGAUUUAGAAGGCCUCUGCGCCAUUUGGCGCAAUGGGUUACCAAAUUUCUGUGUGCAGUGGGCCGGGCCUCUGCGCCAUUUGGCGCAACAGAUUACCGCAGUGGGCUGGGAUUCGGGGUCAUCCUUCUCACCACCAGUCGAACAUACUACCCAAUUUCUGUGUGCAGUGGGCUUGGAGCCGGGGUCAUCCUUCUCACCACCAGUCGAACAUACUACUUCAUCCACCAUGUCGAGCGAUAUAAAACUGUUAUCUGUUUCAUAGAGCAACAACACGAGAUUGUGCCCCCUCUUGAUCCUGGUGCAUAUUGCUGCCCUCCUCCCCCCUUUUGAUUCGAGUUUCUUUACAUUGUGUGAAGUUGUGUACUUCCAACUUUACAAAGCUAUACCAAAUUCGCAACUGUACUUGGCUAUACCUGUAAGUGAUGCAUUUCUCUGCAGGUUACUGACACUUUCUGAAAAAGUAUGGAUAUUGAAUGGAAGACGGGAGAAUGAUUGAUGAAAACAGACAACACUAGAAGUGAAUGCAUUAUUAGUCAAUGGAAACAUGAUUGUUUUAUACACUUUCUUUUACUGAGGAUGAACUUUGUGUUGCAUGCUAUGAACAAAUGUAGUGUUUGACUAAUUUUGAAUUCUAUGUUGAUGCAACAAGUUCAUUCUUUCUGCUUAUAGUCUAUUGUUUUGUGGAAUCAUAAUGUGGGUGAUCCAUUUCUCUUAAAUGUAUUCAAUAAUGCUUCGCUUAUGGGCCAUAUUUAUAUUUGUUACUUGUGGACAUGUGCUUAAUGAUCACUAUACCAAUAUAUUUUUCU